CCUACGGGAGGCAGCAGUGGGGGAUAUUGCACAAUGGGGGGAACCCUGAUGCAGCGACGCCGCGUGGGUGAAGGAGCGUUUCGGCGCGUAAAGCCCUAUUGGCAGGGAAGAAGGAGGACGGUACCUGACUAAGAAGCCCCGGCUAAAUACGUGCCAGCAGCCGCGGUAAUACGGAGGGGGCAAGCGUUAUCCGGAUUUACUGGGUGUAACGGGGGCGCAGACGGCUGCGUAAGCCAGGAGUGAAAGCCCGGGGCCCAACCCCGGGACUGCACUUGGAACUGCGCGGCUGGAGUGCAGGAGGGGCAAGCGGAAUUCCUGGUGUAGCGGUGAAAUGCGUAGAUAUCGGGAGGAACACCGGUGGCGAAGGCGGCCUGCUGGACUGCGACUGACGUUGAGGCCCGAAAGCGUGGGGAGCGAACAGGAUUAGAUACCCCGGUAGUC
rnacentral:rRNA from 1 species